ensembl:ncRNA C02D4.6 ncRNA
GUGAAGAAGAAAGAUUUUGGUGAAAAGGUAAGAAAUAGCGAUGACCUUCGUUUUCAUUUUCCGGGAUGCAUCUGUUCUGAAUUGCUGCAUCCUUUUCGGAUUCAUCUUUGUUUUGCCUCCCACCACUUCUUCAUCCUUUCUCCCCCC